GAGAGAGGUAACAGGGGAGGUCAGUGCAGUAGAAUAAAGUUGUUGUGAAAGUUACGCUGCCUUCCUUUCCUGCUCUCGGUCUGACCAGAUAAGACCCCCUCCUCCUGCUGAUUUAGGUUCACUGAGCCUUACAGAGUUGCAGAACAUAACUUCUGCUGUUACUUAGAUGUGCAAGUGGUUUGUGAUAUGUAAACUUUCUGAUCCAAGAGCGGCUUACAGUGCAGAAAUAGUAAUAUGUCACAAUACAAGAAAUGGAAUACUCAGCUUUCAUAACAAGCCUUGUUGCAAGAGGCACUUGAGGGGAUGUCAUUUGCUAUUUUACCUGAAAACGCCUUGCAGCCCAGAAUGAUUGUGCUUAAUGUUUACAGAAUAAGUGUAUUCAAAAUUAUAAAAAUAUGAAAUAAAAACAAAAAUAAAGGAAA